rnacentral:rRNA from 1 species
AUGCACGCUGGCGGCGUGCUUCACACAUGCAAGUCGCACGAUGAAGCCCAGCUUGCUGGGUGGAUUAGUGGCGAACGGGUGAGUAACACGUGAGUAACCUGCCCUUAACUCUGGGAUAAGCCUGGGAAACUGGGUCUAAUACCGGAUAGGAGCGUCCACCGCAUGGUGGGUGUUGGAAAGAUUUAUCGGUUUUGGAUGGACUCGCGGCCUAUCAGCUUGUUGGUGAGGUAAUGGCUCACCAAGGCGACGACGGGUAGCCGGCCUGAGAGGGUGACCGGCCACACUGGGACUGAGACACGGCCCAGACUCCUACGGGAGGCAGCAGUGGGGAAUAUUGCACAAUGGGCGCAAGCCUGAUGCAGCGACGCCGCGUGAGGGAUGACGGCCUUCGGGUUGUAAACCUCUUUCAGUAGGGAAGAAGCGAAAGUGACGGUACCUGCAGAAGAAGCACCGGCUAACUACGUG